rnacentral:rRNA from 1 species
GUGACCUCAAAUCAGGUAGGACUACCCGCUGAACUUAAGCAUAUCAAUAAGCGGAGGAAAAGAAACUAACAAGGAUUCCCCUAGUAACUGCGAGUGAAGCGGGAAAAGCUCAA